GCCGGAGUGGCGGAACUGGAAGACGCGACGGACUCAAAAUCCGUUUCCUCUCAGGAGGAGUGUGGGUUCAAUUCCCUCCUCCGGCA
rnacentral:tRNA from 1 species